rnacentral:rRNA from 1 species
AAUAGAUACCCUGGUAGUCCACGCCGUAAACGAUGAGUGCUAAGUGUUAGAGGGUUUCCGCCCCUUAGUGCUGAAGUUAACGCAUUAAGCACUCCGCCUGGGGAGUACGGCCGCAAGGCUGAAACUCAAAGGAAUUGACGGGGGCCCACACAGGCGGUGGAGCAUGUGGUUUAAUUCGAAGCAACGCGAAGAACCUUACCAGGUCUUGACAUCCUCUGACAACCCUAGAGAUAGGGCUUUCCCUUCGGGGACAGAGUGACAGGUGGUGCAUGGUUGUCGUCAGCUCGUGUCGUGAGAUGUUGGGUUAAGUCCCGCAACGAGCGCAACCCUUGAUCUUAGUUGCCAGCAUUUAGUUGGGCACUCUAAGGUGACUGCCGGUGACAAACCGGAGGAAGGUGGGGAUGACGUCAAAGUCAUCAUGCCCCUUAUGACCUGGGCUACACACGUGCUACAAUGGAUGGUACAAAGAGCUGCGAACCCGCGAGGGUAAGCCAAUCUCAUAAAGCCAUUCUCAGUUCGGAUUGUAGGCUGCUAAC